rnacentral:lncRNA from 1 species
AUAUUUAUAGAUAGCCCAUAAGACUAUUCCCAUUCCAUUUCUGUUACUCCUACUCAUAGUCAUCUCUGCUAACCAGAAACAAAAGCAGAAUGUGAACUUCAGUCAGAAGAAUUGAUUUCUAUUCCUGAUUUUCUCCACUUAAUGCAUUUUAUGUCUAAAGGCUGAGCCCUCUAUCCACUGUGCCACCUCACUGAAGGUGAAGGGAGGGAGAACUAAAUCAGGAAGAGCUGGCAGGUACCAUACAUCUAAGCAGAAAAGGAGAGAAAUGAAGUCAAUCACACAAGAGCAGAUGUCCAUAGAACCAUAGGCUGGGAGAUUAAAAGAGCAUCAAGGACUAUCUGCUCCAAUCUCUUCAUUUCACACAGGAGGAAACUGAAGGCCAUGGAGUUUGGGUGAAUUAUCCAAGGUCACAAAAUUAACAAAGAUAAAAAGGGAGAUUAGAGCCCAUGACCUCUGACUCCAUCCACUUCAGCACUCUUUCUACUGUACCACACUACCUCCCCAGUUACCUUGGCACAUAAUCUGUAAUUAUUUUCAUAGUGGUCUUUUUUCAAAGACUUAUCAUGAGUAUUGCACUAUGAGAUGACCAAAUGUC